rfam:Bacillus cereus Rock4-18 chromosome, whole genome shotgun sequence.
GUGAACUCUUAACUCGAUAGGUAGAAUGAUAGGGUAACGCCUUGAAAUGCCUACUCUAAUACUCCGACAUGCGUUAUUCGAAUGUGUAUAAGAAUAGGGUGUGAAGCUCGGUGAAGUCGGCUGAAAGUUGUCGUAGUACUCAUGAGUAACCGAAAGCUAACCAGAGGUGGUUGGUACAACUGAUAGGUCGGGAGUCGUGAAA